AUAGUGACGUCAAAGUACCAGUGAGCAUGGAGGUUUGGUUGAAAUUGGUUACGACGACGUCGAGUUGGCGGCGGAGGAAGACUCGGCAUGAAGGCCAGCCGCCCGGUGGUGUGGUACGUAGUGGUAAUAGUACGCGCCCCGCUCCGAAACAAAGAAAAAGCUGCGUGCCGCACUCACGAGGGACUGCCAGUGAGAUACUGGAGGAAGGUGGGGAUGACGUCAAGUCCGCAUGGCCCUUAUGGGCUGGGCCACACACGUGCUACAAUGGCAAUGACAAUGGGAAGCAAGGCUGUAAGGCGGAGCGAAUCCGGAAAG
rnacentral:ncRNA from 1 species